rnacentral:rRNA from 1 species
AGUGAACGCUGGCGGUAGGCCUAACACAUGCAAGUCGAACGGCAGCACAGUAAGAGCUUGCUCUUACGGGUGGCGAGUGGCGGACGGGUGAGGAAUACAUCGGAAUCUACUUUUUCGUGGGGGAUAACGUAGGGAAACUUACGCUAAUACCGCAUACGACCUACGGGUGAAAGCAGGGGAUCUUCGGACCUUGCGCGAUUGAAUGAGCCGAUGUCGGAUUAGCUAGUUGGCGGGGUAAAGGCCCACCAAGGCGACGAUCCGUAGCUGGUCUGAGAGGAUGAUCAGCCACACUGGAACUGAGACACGGUCCAGACUCCUACGGGAGGCAGCAGUGGGGAAUAUUGGACAAUGGGCGCAAGCCUGAUCCAGCCAUGCCGCGUGAGUGAAGAAGGCCUUCGGGUUGUAAAGCCCUUUUGUUGGGAAAGAAAAGCAGCAUGUUAAUACCCCGCUGUUCUGACGGUACCCAAAGAAUAAGCACCGGCUAACUUCGUG